CAGCUCUGCCAGCAAUGAAACCAUGCGCAUAUGAGAUGGAUUGAGGAGGCUUAGUUUUUGUUGAGCAAAACCCAAACCAGCUCUGAUUUUCAGACAAUCAACAUUUUGGGACAAAAUGUCCCUGUUCUAGUGAGCAUAAUUUUGGCAAUCUAAAAAAUUCAUUGCCAAAACACUGAAAUCAAUGGUUUCACAUUAACAGGGAUCUGGAGGUUAGAGACAAAGGACCAGCUCUGUCCCUGGCAUGCAAAUGAGUCCGAUGGUCUAGACCCCAAUGCCCAAAGGUCUGAGCUGCUUUCCCUGGAAGAUCAAGUGUGUGUUGGCUGAGAAGCAGAGUGGCACAAUUCGUAUUCUGCAGCUGUCUGCAUUCCGGGUCUCCUUCCCUGGCAGAGCAAGGAUCUGCAGGGCUGAAAGCCAGACAAGCCCAUUUCCUAUUUUGCUGUAGCUGGAUGGCUGGCUUCAUUGAAAUAACAGGCUUCUCCUCACGCCCAAACAUGCUGCAGGGAGAGAGCACAGUGAGAGCUUCUGUUCAGGAAAAAUACCCCAGCAAACACUUCCUCAAGCAGGAGGCAAAAUUUCUGGUGGCCUAGAUGGAAGAGGUGAAACUCCAUCCUGCAGCCUCUACAAGCAACCUUGGACCUCCUCUGAAUGGCACAGAUCACAACCUGCCAAGCGCCACAUCAGGAAAUAAAACUUGGCCAGCUAAUUUUCUUAUUAGGGCUGGAUUUCCCUGUUGGACUUGCUGAGUCUCUACUGAUAGUCAACUGAGAAGACAACCAUACUUAAAGAUGCCAUUUAAGAUGCACCUCUUCUGCUUUCCAGCUAUUUGAGGAAGCUGCUGUUUUCUCUGUUAAUUGUUUUUAGCAUUUGAACUGCCUAAUCACACACAAGCCUAAAGGUCUGGAAGGAUUCAAAUGGAAAUUCCAGCCAUUUUAAUAUUUCUUGAAUUUCUUGUCAGCAGAAUAACGGUCCUGAAAC